CCUACGGGAGGCAGCAGUGAGGAAUAUUGGUCAAUGGGCGAUGGCCUGAACCAGCCAAGUAGCGUGUAGGAUGACUGCCCUAUGGGUUGUAAAGUUCUUUUAUAAAGGAAUAAAGUCGGGUAUGCAUACCCGUUUGCAUGUACUUUAUGAAUAAGGAUCGGCUAACUCCGAGCCAGCAGCCGCGGUAAUAAGGUGCAC
rnacentral:rRNA from 1 species